UUGGCCGAGCAAGGGAGGCAUGGAUCCAUUGGCCCACCUCUUUCUCCCGAUAUUUUCUCUCCCCAUCCCCUCGAUCUCCCAUCUCCUCCCCUCGCCUCCCUGGUUCCUCUCGAUCUCCCAUCUCCUCCCUCUCUCUCGAUCUCCCCUCCCUGGCUCCUCUCGAUCUCCCUUCUCCUCCCUCUCUCGAUCUCCCUUCUCCUCUCUCCCCUUUCGGAUCUCCUCCCUCUCCCCGCCGUGCGCGCCGCCAAGGAGCCCGCAGGAUCCGGCUCCCCCGACGCUGACGCCGGCCCGGACCCCGACGCCGGCCGCCCUUCGACCGACCACCGGAUCUGGCCGCCCUCGUCCACGCCGCCGGAGGAGGGGAGAUUGGGCGGGGUCGAGCGGCGCCUUGUGAUCGGCACGUUCUCGGCCGCAGAAAGGAGGAGGCGGCACCUGGUGGCCACAGCUUAGGGCUGGCGAGCAUGCGCGGUUCGUUAAGAUCGUUAACGGUAACGAUCUCCAACCAUAGUUCGGCUCGGUUCGUUAAAUGCUCGCGAGCGCUCGUUAAGUUCGUUAGAAACUCGUUAACAUAAAUAGCCAAUUUUUAAUCCAUUUCCUCAACUAAUUUUGUUAGGCAUAAUCUAUUUUCUUCAGCUAUAAUUUGACCACAAAUAAAAAGCAAGCAACAUUAAUACAUCACAUGUAAAAUUAAUCCACGUAUCUCUGUAUCAGUACAUCACAAGCCACUCACAACGCACUGAAGCCACACAUCCUGGUAGGUUUCAAUUCAAGCCACAUAUGCUAUGCACAGCAGCUGCAGCCUCAUUCACGACUCGGAAACCUUCUUAAUCGACUCUGCCUCCAUGCCGGUAGGUUUGGGCGCCGUGGCUGCUUUUCCAUGCGCGGGGACGGGGGAUGGAUAGGCAGCAAUGGAGUAAUGACUGCGGCCGAGCGCGGCGGCCGGCGGAACGUUGCUGGCUGGGGUUGUGACUGGUGCCGGGUGGUCUCCGUGCCGAUCUGCUUUUGGGAUUGCCGCCGUCACUGACCCACGCCUGGGGAUGGAGGCAGUCCGGCAGCUGCAGGCAGGGAGAGGCAUCGAUUCGAGUCGCUCUAGGUGGAUCAGUUUCCUCGAUGGGAUUGGAAGAUGGGCCGCCUCCGCCUGCCGCAGAUAGCUUAAUGGGCUGUGCACACGGGCUGGCGACGCGAGCUCGUAACGAGCCUAUCGAGUACUCGGCAGACUGCUCUGUAAGAUCGUUAACACUAACGAUCUGAGAUGGCUGCCCGGUUCAGUUCGAAAAUUAACGGACCGAGUGCUUACCGAACCGAUCUAGCGAGCGUUCGUUAAGAUUACAGGGCUUCGAGGUUUUUGUCCAGCCCUAGCCACAGGUUGAGUUCUGCCGGCGACUAAGAGGAAGCGACAGUCGGGGUUUGUGAUGGCCAGAUCCAGGGUUUUUUUCAAUUUCUGAUAGUGAUUCGAUUCCGAUCUUUGUUUCAAUUUCUGGACUAGGGAUCCAACAAAAUUUGUUGAAUUCUUUUUUUAUUUCGGGUUCUUUUAAUCCCUUCCAAACUGUAGAUGAAAUUGUUCAAAUAUGUGGAUGUGAUGAUUGUUCCAAAUUCUGGAUUUGUUGUAUGUGGUUCAUGGAUUAGUUCAUCAAUUGGUUUGUGAUUUGUGAUUUGUCGA